rnacentral:rRNA from 1 species
ACCUACGGGGGGCAGCAGUAGGGAAUCUUCCACAAUGGACGAAAGUCUGAUGGAGCAACGCCGCGUGAGUGAAGAAGGGUUUCGGCUCGUAAAGCUCUGUUGGUAGUGAAGAAAGAUAGAGGUAGUAACUGGCCUUUAUUUGACGGUAAUUACUUAGAAAGUCACGGCUAACUACGUGCCAGCAGCCGCGGUAAUACGUAGGUGGCGAGCGUUGUCCGGAUUUACUGGGUGUAAAGGGCGCGGAGGCGGGAAUGCAAGUCAGAUGUGAAAUCCAUGGGGUUAACCCAUGAAC